UACGUAGGGGGCAAGCGUUGUCCGGAAUCACUGGGCGUAAAGGGCGCGUAGGCGGCCUGAUAAGUAGGGGGUGAAAUCCUGUGGCUCAACUGCAGGGCGUGCCUCCUACGAUGUCGGGCUUGAGCACGGUAGAGGCAGAUGGAAUUCCCGGUGUAGCGGUGGAAUGCGUAGAGAUCGGGAAGAACAUCGGUGGCGAAGGCGGUCUGCUGGGCCGUUGCUGACGCUGAGGCGCGACAGCGUGGGGAGCAAACAGG
rnacentral:rRNA from 1 species